GUGUGGACGAGGAUUACAGAGUUCGUCACGCAACGACAAAGUUUUCGUUUCCUCUGGUGCGACCCCCUCUCUCCCUCUUUAAAUGGUGAAGAGUAUAUACUCCUCAGCAGGAGUACCGGCCAUCUCUCCUGGAUCAAAAACUCAGUUCUGGAAUAUCUACCAGCUCACUCUCCAUUUCCCCCAACCUGACAUGUUUUCUGUAAUAAAACUCUCAUGAUUGCCA